rnacentral:rRNA from 1 species
UUCGUAGCUGGUUUGUUAAGUCUCUGGGGAAAUCUUCCGGCUUAACCGGAAGGCGUUUCAGGGAUACUGGCAGACUAGGGACCGGGAGAGGUGAGAGGUACUCCAGGGGUAGGAGUGAAAUCCUGUAAUCCUUGGGGGACCACCUGUGGCGAAGGCGUCUCACCAGAACGGCUCCGACAGUGAGGGACGAAAGCUGGGGGAGCAAACCG